GACGAACGCUGGCGGUGUGCUUCACACAUGCAAGUCGAACGAGGUAGCAAUACCUAGUGGCGGACAGGUGAGUAACGCGUGGGAAUCUGCCUUUAGAUGGGGGGAUAACGGGUCGAAAGACUCGCUAAUACCGCAUAUGACGAAAGUUGAAAGGAGUAAUCCGUCUAAAGAUGAGCCCGCGUCCGAUUAGCUAGUUGGUAGAGUAAAAGCCUACCAAGGCGACCGAUCGGUAGCUGGUCUGAGAGGAUGAUCAGCCACAAUAGGGAACUGAGACACGGCCCAUAACUCCUACGGGAGGCAGCAGUGGGAAUUUACGCAAUGGGCGAAAGCCUGACGUAGCGACACCGCGUGAGCGAAGAAGCCCCUUGGGGGUGUAAAAGCUCUGUCAGCUGGAACGAAAAAAAUGACGGUACCAGCAGAGGAAGCAUCGGCUAACUACGUGCCAGCAGCCGCGGUAAU
rnacentral:rRNA from 1 species